CACCCGGGAACCCCAAAAACUUCCCCGGGGACCCCAAAUUCCUCCUGACCCCCCCCAGGUGAUCUCAGCACCCCGGCACAGCUGGGCAAAGCUGUGACGUCACUCGCCAUCGCGGGGUCCCCGCUCGCCCCCGAGCCCCGGGACCCCCAAAUUGGGGGCGGCUCCAGCCCCGAGAGCGGCUCCGACAGCGCCGCCCCCCGCGGGGCGCCCCCAGGGCCCCUCUCCGAUGGCCCCGCCCAGUCCAGCGAGUCCGAGGAGGGUCUCUGACGCCGCCGCUCCCGAUGGAUUCUCCCGCGGGACCUUCCACGAGAGUCCCCAAAUGUCCCUUGAUGUCCCCAAGUGUCCCCCCGUGUCCCCAAAUGUCCCCAGUCUGUCUCCCCCGAUGUCCCCAAGUGUCCCCGGGCUGGGGGGCCCUGGGGGUGGCCGGACCCCCCCGUGUGUCCCGGGGGGGCCCCAACCCCAAAUAAAAACCUGCAGAGCCACCGGAGGGACACUGGGGGGAUUGGGGGGGACAUUGGGGGGACAUUGGGGACAUUGGGGACAUUGGGGACACUGGGGACA
rnacentral:lncRNA from 1 species